ACGCUCGACACCUACGGAAGGCAGCAGUGGGGAAUAUUGCACAAUGGGGGAAACCCUGAUGCAGCGACGCCGCGUGAGCGAAGAAGUAUUUCGGUAUGUAAAGCUCUAUCAGCAGGGAAGAAACUGACGGUACCUGACUAAGAAGCACCGGCUAAAUACGUGCCAGCAGCGNGUAUNGNGCGGNUGNAG
rnacentral:rRNA from 1 species